GCCUGUGUAGCUCAGUUGGUAGAGCAUUUCACUCGUAAUGAAAAGGUCGUCAGUUCAAUUCUGACCACAGGCUCAA
rnacentral:tRNA from 1 species